CCUUAUUUUACUUGAUCUGCAAAGUAAAAAUCUGCACAUUUGAUGGAUUCGUAAAUACCACUAAUGACACUUAGAUCUCCGGACACACAGUGCUUUAAGCAGUAGGGGCAGCCAGCCACGCAGCCUAUGUCUGUGACUGUCAAUGCAUUUUACCUAUUAUCUCUCUACAUAUUCUUUUUUAAAUCUGUGACCAUCAACAGUGUUUAUUUUGAUGGGUUUCUCAACUUUGCCUAAACUGAAAGUGUUUUGUUUUUCUCUGGCACUCUGUGUGUAAUCAGAGAUGGCUUGGGUACACAGAGAAGGCCCACAGACAGCCUAUCAGACCACAGAGCCAGAACAUGCCUGUGGUCUGACAAUCACCCUGUAGGGUUCUCCCAGUGCUAACUCUGAUCCAAGAGAAAGGAAGAUGAGGAGAACAGCCAGCAAUUUUAGGACAAGGCCACACAGACAAAAACUGCUGUGACUCCAGAGUGUGUCUGGAGAGGAGGCUUGCAAUGAAAGGCAGCUUUUCUCUCUCUUUGGGGUAGAGUGCUUCACCUGCCACAGUGAUGGUGCCCCACUGCUGACUGUCCAGCAGGGGGAAAAAAGAGUUGAUCUUUUCCACAUGAAUGAGAUUGGACACUCUCUCAAGCCAAGUGCUGUGGGACUCAGACAGAAAGGGCCACCUGUUAUGGAGGUGACUUAGGUCAGGAGAUAAUUCUCAGCUGUUCAAACAAAUAAACUUCAACACCACAGGUCACUUCCUUUACCUGCUCUUUGUGUCCGCAGCACCCUGCCGUGCCGCCAAGCCAUUUACCCCUUUUAAUUGAGCAGACGUGGCUUUUUUUCUGCCUGUGCUUUUUUCUGGCUUGUUACUGCCAUGGCUAACAAUUAACACUAUGAUAAAAAUGAAUGCUUGCUACAUAUGCCAAAUGAUAUUACCAACAAGGGGGCUUGUGUGAGAACUCGCAGGUGCUGUGUAAAUCCAAUUUGUGGGACUCAGACUGCCCAGAAUUACACAAAGAUAGCAGGGACCGCUGCCCUCAUGGAACUUGGCAAAGCACACUGCAC
rnacentral:lncRNA from 1 species